UACGAAGGGGGCUAGCGUUGCUCGGAAUUACUGGGCGUAAAGCGCACGUAGGCGGAUCCUUAAGUCGGUGGUGAAAUCCUGAAGCUCAACUUCAGAACUGCCUUCGAUACUGGGGACCUUGAGUUCGGGAGAGGUGAGUGGAACUGCGAGUGUAGAGGUGAAAUUCGUAGAUAUUCGCAAGAACACCAGUGGCGAAGGCGAGUCCCUGGACAACACCUGACACUGAGGCACGAAAGCCGGGGGAGCAAACAGG
rnacentral:rRNA from 1 species